GCACAGUCUAUAAUUUAAGUAUACGAUGUCUACAUCAUGUGUCAUUCAAAGUCUCCCAGUAGCAAAACGGUAAAACCUGUUGCCAUAGGAUUAUAGUGUGGACAACACAGCCUCGCUCGCGAAACCUUAACAAAGAGAAGAGAAUCAAUUAGAACUGGGCAGGAAGCGGAUCUGAAGUGAUGUCGACAUACUGUUUCCCUUGAAAACAACGUACACAAGAUUUUGAAAUAGAAGACAAGUUUUCAGUUAAUUUCGCAAGUUGGGUAACCCUGUUAGUAAAUCCAAGAAACGGGGAGCGGGACUAUUUAGUUAGUAUAAAAAGCCCUGUUCUGUUCUGAUAUAGAUAAGUAUUAUACACAAACUGGCCUGCGAAGAAGAAACCUCGUAACGAAUAUCCAGUACGAAAUGAAAUCUUUUAUCACCCUGCUGUUCAUGAUUGUUUUAAUGUUUGUAGCUCCUGGUCACAGCGCUCAUCUUAAAGACUGGGACUCGUGUGAACGACCUGACGAAAUAUACUUGUCCUGUGGAUCUGCCUGUGGUAUUUACACGUGUGCAGACGUGAGGCGUAGAUUUCAUCAAGCACAGGUUUACUGCACACAGCAGUGUAUUAUGGGGUGCUUUUGUAGCAACGGACUUGUUAGAGGUCCUAAUGGUAACUGUAUCCCCAAGAAUGAAUGUCCGGUUUCCACUUGAAAACACCUCCGGCACUGACUGAAUGUUCCGAUAAGCUCCCUGCCAGCCGGAAGGAAGACAAGACAAAGAAUAACAUAUGUAUUAUCAAACUGAAUUUAUUGCAACACUUCCAUCCUGAAAGAUUUAUCCAAACCCUAAGCUGUACUUUUACCACGUGUGUACCAAUAGACAUUGCUUAAUAGCAUAAUUUAAAACCAGUUUCAAAUAGUAUUCGCCACUGGCUGAAAAAGUGCGUGAUUUUUUAUGAACCGUUUUCGUUUCAUGUAUUCUGUAAAAUGGUUCUGCUAUGAUUACAUAGGAUGAAAUAGUUUUUAUUCUAACAUUUUUGCUGUAUCUGUUACCAAUUAGUAUCUCUAUUUGACAUCUUAAGUGAAAGAUUAAUAAAAACUCGGUAGAUUGGUGAAUGUAGAAA